ACAAGUUUUGGAGGAAAUUAGCAUACGAUAAUACGAUAUUGAUGAUAGAUUCAAGCAUGUAACAUUGAUAAUAAUUGUAAGUGGCACACAUACACAUUACAAUAUAGAAAUUGGGAGGUACAUGCAUGCAUGGUGGUACAAAGAAGAUGGAUUAUUGAAGCUAAGUAGACACAUAAUAAAAUAUAAUACACACAUCAUAAUAACAUAGUGAUGUGGUAUUAGGUGUACAGAGAGAGAGAGACAUAUUAUACUCCAUACUUAAUUAUAUUUCAUAGUUGUUCAAUAAUCAUCUAUGCAUAUUUUGCCAUCUUACGUGGUAGGGAGUAAGAAUCGCAACAAUAUUUAAAGAUCCCAAUAAUGCAAUACGUAUCGCAUUUGCUGAGUGAUGAAGAUCCUUCUCCCAACACAUAAUAAUAUCCAGUUUCAUCAGGUAUUAUUUCUAGUACUUUUGGUGUGCUUAUUCCUGCAUAUAUGAAAAUUAAAACAAUGAAAUAUUCACAUUUAACCCAGAAUACGGUGUGGUAUGUGUGAAAGGAAGAGUACAGUGAAACCAUAUAUUGAAUGUACCUGCUAAUUUUAACCGUUGAUUUUAAUUAUAAAAAAUAUAUAUUUUUGAUACCUUUAAAAAUUUUUCUAUAUUAUUACCUUGUGUUGCAUCAUGAGAUUCGAAUGGCUUAUUAUUAGUAGCCGCAGCAUAGGUGAAAAACAGAGAGGAGAACAAGCACAUCAACACAAACAUUUUGGUAUCCAUCUUAAAUUUGC
rnacentral:lncRNA from 1 species